UGAAGACAGAGCCCUUCCUUCUCGCCUGUUGUUCUAUCUAUGAGCUCUCUUCUCAUCUCCUCUCUUCUUGAAUAAGUUCACUAUCUAUUCACUGAGCAGAGCUACAGCAGCAGGAGAAGCCCUCUCAGAUGAUGUUCGGGCCGUUAUCUAAAUCUGAGAAGAAGCAGGAAAACAAGCAAGAGAAAGGAUUAUUUGCGGUGAGUUUCAGGCCGGAGAAUUUCAUCCCUGGCGUCAUCAUUGGCUUUAUUUUUGGGCUUUUCUGUGACUUAUUGAAGCCUGCUGCGAAUCGCAAAAGGAGGCGAAAUUUCUUGCCGGGAAAGCUGUCAGAGCAAUGCCUCCUCCCAAGCAACAAAGACAGAGAACUUAAAAUGGUUUUGGUCGUGAGACAGGAUCUAAAGAUGAGCUCAGGAAAAAUCGCAUCUCAAUGUGCUCAUGCUGCCACUGGCUUGUAUGCGGAACUGAUGCAAAGUGACCGUUAUAUGCUUAGAAAGUGGGAAGAAUGUGGACAACCUAAAAUUGUCUGUACAUGCAAAAAUCAAGAGGAAAUGAAUAAGCUAAGAGAAGCAGCUGAGAACACCGGGCUUGCAACUUUUGUGGUCGCUGAUGCAGGAUGGACAGAGGUAUCAUAAUAUAAUGCUUCGAAAGUAUCUCGAUGCUAUGAAAUGUUUGGGGCUCCUCCUGCCUAUUUUGGAUACUUUUUGCCUGAUUGAAGCUGGGUCAAGGACUGUCCUUGCUGUGGGGCCUGGACCAAAAGAAUUAGUCGACUCGGUGACGGGGAAAUUGCGCCUGCUCUAAGAAGUAAGAACCUGAGCCUGCUAUUGCCAUACUUGUCAUACUCAGGAGGAGCCAUAAUUUUUUUCUUGCGGUAAGAUAGGGAGCCAUAAUUUGGUUGCAUGGAUUAUGUGAUUUCCUCUGUUUCGUACCGGCAAAUUUGAUGUGAGAAGGACACCACUGAGGUGAAGCAGGCCCAGGAAAAUUCUUAAUCGUUCGUAGGGUAGUCGUUAUCUAUCUCGGAUUCGAGUUCAAAGUAGAGCAUAGAGAUGAGAGAAUUGGGGAAGUUUGUGGUUUGAAGGUUUUAACUUUCUUUCAUCUGCAUCUGUCAUCAGACUCCUCAGAUGUAGAAGUUCUUCUGACUUACCAUAGUUCUUGCAUCUCUUAGAUUUCUGACUGCAAACGAACCUAUCAUUCCUGGAAUUUACCUUUUCUAUUUUUCUUAUCCA